rnacentral:rRNA from 1 species
UACGUAGGGUGCGAGCGUUGUCCGGAAUUAUUGGGCGUAAAGGGCUCGUAGGCGGUCUGUCGCGUCGGGAGUGAAAACUCGGGGCUUAACUCCGAGCCUGCUUCUGAUACGGGCAGACUAGAGGUAUGCAGGGGAGAAUGGAAUUCCUGGUGUAGCGGUGAAAUGCGCAGAUAUCAGGAAGAACACCCGUGGCUAAGGCGGCUCUCUAGUACGGUACUGACGCUGAGACGCGAAAGCGUGGGGAGCGAACAGG